AUUGAACGCUGGCGGCAAGCCUAACACAUGCAAGUCGAACGGUAACAGAAAGCAGCUUGCUGCUUUGCUGACGAGUGGCGGACGGGUGAGUAAUGUCUGGGAAACUGCCUGCUGGAGGGGGAUAACUACUGGAAACGGUAGCUAAUACCGCAUAACGUCGCAAGACCAAAGAGGGGGACCUUCGGGCCUCUUGCCAUCGGAUGUGCCCAGAUGGGAUUAGCUAGUAGGUGGGGUAAUGGCUCACCUAGGCGACGAUCCCUAGCGGGUCUGAGAGGAUGACCAGCCACACUGGAACUGAGACACGGUCCAGACUCCUACGGGAGGCAGCAGUGGGGAAUAUUGCACAAUGGGCGCAAGCCUGAUGCAGCCAUGCCGCGUGUAUGAAGAAGGCCUUCGGGUUGUAAAGUACUUUCAGCGAGGAGGGAGGUGUUGUGGUUAAUAACCACAGCAAUUGACGUUACUCGCAGAAGAAGCACCGGCUAACUCCGUGCCAGCCGCCGCAGUAA
rnacentral:rRNA from 1 species